rnacentral:rRNA from 1 species
GAUGAACGCUGGCGGCGUGCCUAAUACAUGCAAGUCGAGCGAACAGACGAGGAGCUUGCUCCUCUGACGUUAGCGGCGGACGGGUGAGUAACACGUGGAUAACCUACCUAUAAGACUGGGAUAACUUCGGGAAACCGGAGCUAAUACUGGAUAAUAUAUUGAACCGCAUGGUUCAAUAGUGAAAGACGGUUUUGCUGUCACUUAUAGAUGGAUCCGCGCCGCAUUAGCUAGUUGGUAAGGUAACGGCUUACCAAGGCAACGAUGCGUAGCCGACCUGAGAGGAUGAUCGGCCACACUGGAACUGAGACACGGUCCAGACUCCUACGGGAGGCAGCAGUAGGGAAUCUUCCGCAAUGGGCGAAAGCCUGACGGAGCAACGCCGCGUGAGUGAUGAAGGUCUUCGGAUCGUAAAACUCUGUUAUUAGGGAAGAACAAAUGUGUAAGUAACUAUGCACGUCUUGACGGUACCUAAUCAGAAAGCCACGGCUAACUACGUG